AGACCUUUCUCUCUUCAGUUCAAGCUCUCAUUUCGCCCUUAGUGGCUUGUUCUCACACACACAGCCUGAGCUCUGAAAACCUAACAUGGUAUCAGAGCCAGGUUCAUCAGAACUUGGUUCCAGCUUCCGCAUAUACAUCACAAGUCUAGCCUCAUCACAGAUCCAAACCAUUGAAGAUGUCCAGCCUGUUCUCUCUCUUCAAGAAGAAGGUGUUUGAAGCUAUGGUGGUGUCUCCUGGUCGUUCCUCCUCUCUCCAGUCCAUUAAAGGCGUGUCUCAACUCUGUCCCAAGCUGAAACCCUUCAAGAAGAAAGCUCUCAUCUUGUUCCUGAAGUUGGAGACUUGGAGCUGUGAAGAAAGGUGGAACCUUUUGUGUUGUGGUUUCAAGAAGGAGGUUAUGAACACAAAGAGAAGGUGUUGGGUGACGAUCCAGCUCUCUUAUCCACCAGAUUCGUGGCCUAUUACCAAGGUGGCUCAAGGAACCAGCUCAGGUUCCUUGGUUGUAAGCUAAUCCUAAACCUUCUUGAUAUGAGCUUGUGAUUGAAACAGGUUGUUGUGUUGUGAUGUGAUUAAAUGAACCUGAGGAUAUGUUUAAGAUUGCUAAAUGAAAUGAAAUGAUUUAGAAUCUGUCCCAGGAUGCUAUUGAGUGUUGUUUGAUGUUGAGAAAUGAAAUGCUUAGCCUGAUUUGGUUAUGAUUGUUCUAGGAUGUUAGAAACUGUCUAAAUCCUAUUAGCUUUCAUUAAACUGAAAUCACUUAAGGUUUUGCAUUGUCUGAUGUUGAUUGAUGAUUAAUAUUGCUUUGCCUCAGUUAUAAGUGAAGUGUGUUAGGAUAAUAGAAAGCAUUGGCUGAUCCUGCUGCAUACAUGAGCUAGAAACUGAUUAAGGUCACAGCAUAUUGUCAUCUUGUUGCUGCCUUAACAUUGAGCACAUAGAUGGAUGUCUAUGAUUGCGGAUUAAGGCAGGGUUGAUUGCCUAAGUAGCUUGUCUUGAAUCUGAUUUGAUCUUGCUUGUACCUAGAGAGAUUGCUUGCAAAGAUGUGAACUUGAUAAUUCUUGUUUCAAUCUGUUGCAUAGCUUGUGACAUUGGAGAUCAAACUUGAUGAUUAGUCAAGGAUUGAUCCCAAUGCUUAUGUCUUAUCUUUGCUGGAGUUUGAGUGGUGUUUCAGGUUCACAAGAUGUGCUCUCUGUCCAUCACCAAUCCGAGCAGAAGAGGAAGAAGACUUUACCCAUUGGGAAUGGUCGUUGUGGUAUAUGUGUGGAUACACAAGGCGAGUGGUCAUCACCUAAGUCUGGAGGAGACCGGUGACCAGAAGGCAUUGGAGAUAAAGGGAAGGGUUGAUCAGUGGUUGAAGCGCACUCUAUGAGAUGUUACGCUCCUGAUCUUAAGGCUCAUUGAGGCUCACUUCAAGCUUGGACCCAUACUCAAUCCAAGCUUGAGGAGGGGAGCAAAGUGAGCCACCUGAUGAUCCUGUUGCUCAAUGACCUGUGUUACUCAAGGUCAUUGCAAGCUGAUCAUGGAGUGAUUCAGCCAAAGUAGAGGGAAGAAGAAGGUCACUCAACAAGGCGUGUGAGGUGCUUGGAGAGUGGGCUGAUGUAUCUCCUCAGUGCAAUGAUGAUGUAGUGGAGGUUCAAGCAUCAAGUCCGAAGGAGAUGGAUGUGCUUUCCACAAGGCGUAUCAUGGAGCUAUCAUGCGCUCACCAUCAAGCUUGGACCUUCCCUAUACUUGGUCUCAAGCUUGAGGGGGAGUGUGGAUGAGCUUGCAUGAUCAGAGAAGGAGCUGUUAAGCUCAGCAAGUGAGGGACUCAAGUGCCAUGUGAAGAGCAGCCAGUCCUCACCAUUUAUACAAGGGAGUAAACCUGAUCUCUAUCUCUUUAUAUACAUUCAUGAUAGGUUUAUCUCUUGAGAACUGAUACACUUGUUGAAUGAUGUAUCAGGUACCUUACUUGGAUUCUCAAUGAAGAGGGCGUGAUCUUACCUGAUGGAGAUGGCGAGAAGCCAUGAGAGAAGGGAAGACACAAACGGAGUUUAAGAAGAAGUCCAAGAAGAGUGGUGGAGUGAAGAGGCCGUGAUCCAGAGCCUAUGUGCCUAAACCUCAGUGAUACUAAGGCACAUAGGCUCACUGGCCAAUCCCUAGGCCUUGGAGGCUCUACUCUUUUUCCCUCAGCAAGGUUUUGUCCCAAAGGGUUUUCCUUGGUGAGGUUUUUAAUGAGGGAGUUCUUCAAGGUUCCAAGCUUGACUUAGGAUCACCUAGAGUCAAGCUUGAGGGGGAGUGUUGACUUGAAGAAAGAAAUGGAGCCAUAGGAGAAGUAUGGAGGAGUUUGGGUCUGGUGCAAAGAUAGGGACAAGAUCUUAAGAGAUUGUCUAUCAAGGCUUCAUGAGAGUUUAGAGAAGUCUAGAAGUAUCAUGAAGGCUGUGCAAAGAUAGGGUUAAAGUCCAGGAGGGACUUAGACACCAUUUGGAGAUAGUUGGGUGAUGGUGCAAAGAUAGGGCGUCCCGAGGUUCAGACGGUACGGAUGAACCGUGCAAACUUAGGGCGACCCAGAACCUGAUCACACUCAACCAUUGGAGAUGUUUUUGUGAGAUGUGCAAACUUAGGGCGAGGUACGGACAGGCGGUCCGUACCUUCGUCCGUACUUGUUCCGGAUCAAGCUGAAAUGAAGCUGUGCAAACUUAGGGCGCAAGAAAAGACAAACCUGAGUUAUCUUGUGACUAUUUGUGGAUAAGGGACAGCUAGGGCGUGGUCAAUGACAGGCUGUCUUUGAGCUGUAAAGGAAAAGCAGCCUUGACCAUGUAUCUAGCCAUCUUUGUGAAAAAGGUUCAUGGGAGCUUUAAGGGAACCAAUCAGGAGCCAGCCCUUGCCUUGACCAGUUUGAAUCAACCAAUCACCAGCCAGCAUUCUCUACUCCAAUCAGAUCAAUUCACUCAGAUUGCAAACAAGAAAACUCCAUCCUAGCCAUCCAUUCAUCUCAAGUCAUUUCUAUCCAUUAGAUUAAGGGUUUAUGAUUUUACAAAGUGUAAAGCCUAUAUAAAGGCUAUCAUGGACGUUUUGUAACUCUCUUAAGAGAGAGAGGGGGAUUUCCCCUCCUCCUUCAUAAUACAAAGUGUGUUCUUGGAUAAGAAUCCCUCAAACUACCCCUUUCUUAUACUUAAAUCUCUUAAUCUCUCUAAAUCUCUUGUUUCUGUCCAAGUUCAUACUGUUCUUCAUCAGACCUUUCUCUCUUCAGUUCAAGCUCUCAUUUCGCCCUUAGUGGCUUGUUCUCACACACACAGCCUGAGCUCUGAAAACCUAACAUGGUAUCAGAGCCAGGUUCAUCAGAACUUGGUUCCAGCUUCCGCAUAUACAUCACAAGUCUAGCCUCAUCACAGAUCCAAACCAUUGAAGAUGUCCAGCCUGUUCUCUCUCUUCAAGAAGAAGGUGUUUGAAGCUAUGGUGGUGUCUCCUGGUCGUUCCUCCUCUCUCCAGUCCAUUAAAGGCGUGUCUCAACUCUGUCCCAAGCUGAAACCCUUCAAGAAGAAAGCUCUCAUCUUGUUCCUGAAGUUGGAGACUUGGAGCUGUGAAGAAAGGUGGAACCUUUUGUGUUGUGGUUUCAAGAAGGAGGUUAUGAACACAAAGAGAAGGUGUUGGGUGACGAUCCAGCUCUCUUAUCCACCAGAUUCGUGGCCUAUUACCAAGGUGGCUCAAGGAACCAGCUCAGGUUCCUUGGUUGUAAGCUAAUCCUAAACCUUCUUGAUAUGAGCUUGUGAUUGAAACAGGUUGUUGUGUUGUGAUGUGAUUAAAUGAACCUGAGGAUAUGUUUAAGAUUGCUAAAUGAAAUGAAAUGAUUUAGAAUCUGUCCCAGGAUGCUAUUGAGUGUUGUUUGAUGUUGAGAAAUGAAAUGCUUAGCCUGAUUUGGUUAUGAUUGUUCUAGGAUGUUAGAAACUGUCUAAAUCCUAUUAGCUUUCAUUAAACUGAAAUCACUUAAGGUUUUGCAUUGUCUGAUGUUGAUUGAUGAUUAAUAUUGCUUUGCCUCAGUUAUAAGUGAAGUGUGUUAGGAUAGUAGAAAGCAUUGGCUGAUCCUGCUGCAUACAUGAGCUAGAAACUGAUUAAGGUCACAGCAUAUUGUCAUCUUGUUGCUGCCUUAACAUUGAGCACAUAGAUGGAUGUCUAUGAUUGCGGAUUAAGGCAGGGUUGAUUGCCUAAGUAGCUUGUCUUGAAUCUGAUUUGAUCUUGCUUGUACCUAGAGAGAUUGCUUGCAAAGAUGUGAACUUGAUAAUUCUUGUUUCAAUCUGUUGCAUAGCUUGUGACAUUGGAGAUCAAACUUGAUGAUUAGUCAAGGAUUGAUCCCAAUGCUUAUGUCUUAUCUUUGCUGGAGUUUGAGUGGUGUUUCAGGUUCACAAGAUGUGCUCUCUGUCCAUCACAAAUCCGAGCAGAAGAGGAAGAAGACUUUACCCAUUGGGAAUGGUCGCUGUGGUGUAUGUGUGGAUACACAAGGCGAGUGGUCAUCACCUAAGUCUGGAGGAGACCGGUGACCAGAAGGCAUUGGAGAUAAAGGGAAGGGUUGAUCAGUGGUUGAAGCGCACUCUAUGAGAUGUUGCGCUCCUGAUCUUAAGGCUCAUUGAGGCUCACUUCAAGCUUGGACCCAUACUCAAUCCAAGCUUGAGGAGGGGAGCAAAGUGAGCCACCUGAUGAUCCUGUUGCUCAAUGACCUGUGUUACUCAAGGUCAUUGCAAGCUGAUCAUGGAGUGAUUCAGCCGAAGUAGAGGGAAGAAGAAGGUCACUCAACAAGGCGUGUGAGGUGCUUGGAGAGUGGGCUGAUGUAUCUCCUCAGUGCAAUGAUGAUGUAGUGGAGGUUCAAGCAUCAAGUCCGAAGGAGAUGGAGGUGCUUUCCACAAGGCGUAUCAUGGAGCUAUCAUGCGCUCACCAUCAAGCUUGGACCUUCCCUAUACUUGGUCUCAAGCUUGAGGGGGAGUGUGGAUGAGCUUGCAUGAUCAGAGAAGGAGCUGUUAAGCUCAGCAAGUGAGGGACUCAAGUGCCAUGUGAAGAGCAGCCAGUCCUCACCAUUUAUACAAGGGAGUAAACCUGAUCUCUAUCUCUUUAUAUACAUUCAUGAUAGGUUUAUCUCUUGAGAACUGAUACACUUGUUGAAUGAUGUAUCAGGUACCUUACUUGGAUUCUCAAUGAAGAGGGCGUGAUCUUACCUGAUGGAGAUGGCGAGAAGCCAUGAGAGAAGGGAAGACACAAACGGAGUUUAAGAAGAAGUCCAAGAAGAGUGAUGGAGUGAAGAGGCCGUGAUCCAGAGCCUAUGUGCCUAAACCUCAGUGAUACUAAGGCACAUAGGCUCACUGGCCAAUCCCUAGGCCUUGGAGGCUCUACUCUUUUUCCCUCAUCAAGGUUUUGUCCCAAAGGGUUUUCCUUGGUGAGGUUUUUAAUGAGGGAGUUCUUCAAGGUUCCAAGCUUGACUUAGGAUCACCUAGAGUCAAGCUUGAGGGGGAGUGUUGACUUGAAGAAAGAAAUGGAGCCAU
rnacentral:lncRNA from 1 species